rnacentral:rRNA from 1 species
AUACCGGGCCUUUUUGGGCUUGGUAAUUGGAAUGAGGGAGAGUUAAACGGACCAUCGAGUAUCCAUUGGAGGGCAAGUCUGGUGCCAGCAGCUGCGGUAAUACCAGCUCCAAUAGCGUAUAUUAAAGUUGUUGCAGUUAAAAAGCUCGUAGUUGGACUUGUGUGCGCUGUCCGCGGGUGGCCUGCGCCCAAAAGGGCGUUUCGGUUCGGCCCCGGUGGCGCCUUGAAAUCUGCAGCUGGGGGGACGUUGGCCUUAACUGGUCGGCGACCGCACGCCGGCUGCUCGGUUACUGUGAGAAAAUUAGAGUGUUCGAGGCAGGCAUUGGGUGCAAUUGAAUACAUUAGCAUGGAAUAAUGAAAUAUGGCUCCUGCCGUAUUUUGUUGGUUUUGACUGGUGGGAGUAAUGAUUGAUAGGGGCGGUUGGGGGUGCUAGUAUUGAGCGGCCAGAGGUGAAAUUCAUGGAUUCGCUCAAGACUAACUUAUGCGAAAGCAUUCACCAAGGACGUCCUCUUUAAUCAAGAACGAAAGUUGGGGGAUCGAAGACGAUCAGAUACCGUCGUAGUCUCAACCAUAAACUAUGUCGACUUGGGAUCGGCGGUAGUUUUUUCAUUAAGACACUGUCGGGACCACGGGAGAAAUCAAAGUGUCUGGACUCUGGGGGAAGUAUGGUCGCAAGGCUGAAACUUGAAGGAAUUGACGGAAGGGCACCACCAGGAGUGGAGCCUGCGGCUUAAUUUGACCCAACACGGGGAAACUUACCAGGUCCAGAGAUGUAGAGGAUUGACAGAUUGAAGCUCUUUCUUGAUCACUUCGGUGGUGGUGCAUGGCCGUUCUUAGUUGGUGGAGUGAUUUGUCUGGUUAAUUCCGUUAACGAACGAGACCUCAGCCUGCUAGUGUAGUCGGCUGGAUUGCCUUUGGCGAUCCGUGAUUUCGACUUCUUAGAGGGACAAUCGACGCGCAGUCGAUGGAAGUUUGAGGCAAUAACAGGUCUGUGAUGCCCUUAGAUGUUCUGGGCCGCACGCGCGCUACACUGCUGGGCUCAGCGAGUUUUACUUGGCCGAGAGGCCCGGUUAAUCUUGUGAAAUCCCAGCGUGCUUGGGCUCGCCUCCUGCAACUGGAGGCGCCAACGAGGAAUUCCUAGUAGACGCAGGUCAUCAACCUGCAUCGAUUACGUCCCUGCCCUUUGUACACACCGCCCGUCGUUCCAUAAGAGUGAGGCAUCCGGUGAAUUCUCGGGAGAGCCUGGGCGUGGCCAGCAAUGGUCUGCUCGGGUUUGAACUUGCAUAAACUUGGUGCCUAUGAUUAGGG